AGCCACGCCCCGCUAAAUUUCGUAUUUUAGUAGAGACAGGGUUUCACCAUGUUGCCCAGGCUGGUCGCGAACUCCUGAGCUCAGGCAAUCCGCUGGUCUUGGUCUCCCAAAGUGCUGGGAUUACAGGCGUGAGCCACCGUGCCGGGCCAAAUCAUUUCUUUUUUAACAAACAGCAUCCUGAAAAAUCGAGCUGCAAAAAAAGAUAAGGAAGCCGGAAGCUUGCAUGAGGGAAAUGCCGGCAGCUGUGCCAACAGAAAAGGGCUACCUGGAAGCCAGGUGUGUUCAACGUGGAGGCCCCUUAUUCCCUUUUCUUUGUUGCUUCGUGUACAGUAAAGGGGUAGGCAACAUGAUGCCGGCCAGGUAGAGAACAUAUCUGCAUAAUAAAAGUUUAGGGUGGGGUGGCCAGCUUCUUGAGGGGCUAUGCAAAUGGCACACCUGGUCCGACCAAUCUUUUAUGCCCUAUGUAAAUCAAACACCGCCUCCUAAAGCUCGUCCAUAAAACCUUCUGCAUUUCGCUGCAGAAGCAGCAACUCAUUUUCUCUGGGACCCCUCUCUGCACGGAGAGCUCUUCUCUUUCUUUCGCCUAUUAAACUUACAUGGCCGUGGGACAAUGAACCUCAGGUAUUACCCCAGAGAAACAACAUCGCUUCAUUGAGGGGAAUGCAAAAAUGUAGUAAAGGAAAUUGAGAAUGAGAAGCCAAUAAAGUAGGUAAGAAACAAGGUAGAGUGACAUCAUGGAAGCCAAACAAAGCAAGUGUUUCCAGGAUGAAGGCGUGAUCAACUGGGUCAAAUGUAUGGUGACAGAUCAAAUAAGAUGAGGACUAAUCAUUAAUCAUGGAUUUUAGCAACACUGAGUCCCUGUGGACCUUUACAGGAGAAGUUCUGGUGGAGGGCUGAGAGCAAAAGCCUGGUUGAAGUGAGUUUGAAAAGAUGUGAAAUGUCUCAUUUCCAACAAGCUGAUACAAAGACCACAGGAAAGGAAGAAAGGAGAACUACAAACCACUGCUCAAGGAAAUAGGAGAGGACACAAACAAAUGGAAAAAAAAAACAUUCCAUGCUCUUGGGUAGGAAGAAUCAAUAUCGUGAAAAUGUCCAUACUGCCCAAAGUAAUUUAUAGAUUCAGUGCAAUCCCCAUCAAGCUACCACUAACUUUCUUCACAGAAUUAGAAAAAACUACUUUAAAUUUCAUAUGGAACCAAUAAAGAGCCCGUAUAGCCAAGACAAUCCUAAGCAAAAAGAACAAAGCUGGAGGCAUCACGUUACGUGACUUCAAACUACACUACAAGGCUACAGUAACCAAAACAGCAUGGUACUGGAACCAAAACAGCAUGGUACCGGUACCAAAACAGAUAUAUAGACCAAUGGAACAGAACAGAGGCCUUAGAAAUAACACCACCCAUCUACAGCCAUCUGAUCUUUGACAAACCCGACAAAAACAAGCAAUGGGGAAAGGAUUCCCUAUUUAAUAAAUGGUGUUGGGAAAACGGGCUAGCCAUAUGCAGAAAACUGGAACUGGACCCCUUCCUUACACCUUAUACAAAAAUUAACUUAAGAUGGAUUAAAGGCUUAAACAUGAGACCUAAAACCAUAAAAACCCUAGAAGAAAACCUAGGCAAUACCAUUCAAGACAUAGGCAUGGGCAAAGACUUCAUGACUAAAACACCAAAAGCAAUGGUAACAGAAGCCAGAAUUGACAAAUGGGAUCUAAUUAAACUAAAGAGCUCCUGCACAGUAAAAUAAACUAUCAGCAGAGUGAACAGGCAACCUAUAGAAUGGGAGAAAAUUUUUGCAAUCUAUCCAUCUGACAAAUGGCUAAUAUACAGAAUCUACAAAUAAUUUAAACAAAUUUACAAGAAAAAAGCAAACAAACCCAUCAAAAAGUGGGCAAAGGAGAUGAACAGACACUUCUCAAAAGAAGACAUUUAUGUGGCCAACAAACAUAUGGAAAAAAGUCACUGUCACUGGUCAUUAGAGAAAUGCAAAUCAAAACCACAAUGAAAUCCCAUCUCACACUAGUUAGAAGGGCGAUCAUUAAAAAGUCAGGAAACAACAGAUGCUGGAGAGGAUGUGGAGAGAUAGGAACACUUUUACACUGUUAGUGGGAGUGUAAAUUAGUUCAACCAUUAUGGAAGACAGUGUGGCGAAUCCUCAAGGAUCCAGAAAUACCAUUUGACCUAGCAAUCCCAUUACUGGGUACGUACCUAAAGGGUUACAAAUCAUUCUACUAUAAAGACACAUGCACAUGUAUGUUUAUUGCAGCACUGUUCAUAAUAGCAAAGACUUGGAACCAACCCAAAUGCCGAUCAUUGAUAGACUGGAUAAAGAAAAUGUGGCAUAUAUACACCAUGAAAUACUAUGCAGCCAUAAAAGCAGAUGAGUUCAUGUCCUUUGCAGGGACAUGGAUGAAGCUGGAAACCAUCAUUCUCAGCAAACUAACAUAGGAACAGAAAACCAAACACCUCAUAAGUGGGAGUUGAACAAUGAGACACAUGGAGACAGGGAGGGGGAACAUCACGCACCAGGGCCUGUCAGUGGGUGGGGGGCUAGGGGAGGUAUAGCGUUAGGAGAAAUACCUAAUGUAGAUGACAGGUUGAUGGGUGAAGCAAACCACCAUGGCAUGUGUAUACCUAUGUAACAAACCUGCACGUUCUGCACAUGUAUCCCAGAACUUAAAGUAUAAUAAAAAAAGGAAGAAAGGGAGGUUUAGUGUGUAUGUUUGUCUGUGUAUGUGUGUGUGUGUGUGUGUGUUUUAAGGCGGAUAGAAAAAUUGUUCUAAUCACUAUUGUGAUUAAAUUUUCCAAGGACUUGUGUCUAUUUACAGUAAGGACUUAUUCCUUAUGUUUUGAAAUACAAUAUGUUACCUUAAGCCCAGUAAAUUUGUCUAGGCAAAAGUUUUUGAUUGUGUGUGAAAGUGUUCACGAUGAUAACUUCAAUUAGAUAUCUCCCCUUGUUUAUUAAAAGAUGUGCUUGAAACUAACACUUUAAGGAUAUUGCUUUUAAACUGAAGUAUCUGGAGCAAAAGGAAUAAUUUAUAAUACAGGAAACUUACAUGUCUAGAACUCUGUUAUUCGAAGUGUGGUGCAAGGACAAGCAACAUCAACAUCACUUUGGAGCUUGUUAGGAUCUCAGGCCGUUCCUCAUCCUGAUUGAAUCAGAUUAUAUAUUUUAACAAGACUCCUAGGAACUAGUAUAUACAAUAAAGUUGCAGAAACACUAGUCUGUGGAAUCUAUGAUGUUGAAAAGUAUUUGUUCUUUUGCAUAGACAGACCAAAUUAUUGUACCUAGGAGAGUUCAGGUGCCCUGGGAAGCAUAAAGCAAGAUAAGAUUAGAUAUACAAGAGCUUUAUAGUAGAAGUAAGCAGAUGAAUGUAGGGUGAGCUUUCCAAUUUCAAAACAGGUCUGACAUCUGUGGGAGGAGACAAGAAUGGAAGAAGAAUUGGGCAAGAAGGGUCUCUACCGCAGUUCAGUUUCAAGGAAGUUUUGGCCAAGCCACUGGGAAGUUCUCACACAAAAGUCGCCCUCUGUAGAGCCCUACUAUUGGUAGGAAUGAGUCCCUUAGCCCCUUCUGUGUACAGUCAUUGGCUGAAGGCAGCCCACAGCAACAUCACCUCCAUGCAAACACAGGGUUGGAUCAAGAUAGUUGUCAAUAGAUAAUGUUCCCUGUCACAAGAGCUUCAAGUCAUGCACUCCUACAGUCACCACAUAAGGCAAAGCAAAAUUUAGUAAACCUAGCAGUGGAGGAAAAAGAGAAGAGAAUUUUAAGCAUUAAAACUGAAUAGAGGAUCGGCAUGGUGCCUCACACCUGUAAUCCCGGCACUUUGGGAGGCCGUGGCAGGAGAAUUGCUUAAGCCCAGGAGUUUGAGACUAGCUUGGGCAACAUAGUGAGACCCUGUCUCUACCAAAAAUUAAAACACAAUUAGCUGGGCAUGGUGGCUCCUGCCUGUAGUUCCAGCUAUUCAGGAGGCUGAGGUGGGAGGAUCGGUUGAGCCCAGGAGUUUGAGGUUGCAGUGAGCCAAGGUUGUGCCACUGCAUUCCAGCCUGGGCAAUAGAGUGAGGCAUUUUUACAUUGAGUUCACUCCUGGUGUUGUACAUUCUAUGGAUUUUGACAAAUGCAUGAUGACAUUUACAUACUAUUGUAGAUAGGUUGUUAUCUACAAUCUAGAUCUCAGUAGUCUUACCAGUAGAGUAGCAUUUGGCAUUAUUAGGCAAUCUGUUUCUAAAAAACAAAAAAACAAAAAGGAGAAGAAGAAAAAGAAAUAAAAACUGAAUAGAAUAGGAGGUGAAUGGAUAAACUAUGAUACAUCCAGACAAUUGAGGUAUUAUUCAGUACCAAAAAGAAAUGAGCGAUCAAGCUAUGAAAAGGCAUGAAAGAACCUUAAAUGCAUAAUUACUAAGUGAUAGAAGCCAAUCCAAAAAGGCCACAUCCUGAAUGUUUUUAGCUAUAUUACAUUCUGGAAAAGACAAAAUAUGGUGUCAGUAAGAUCAGUGGUUGCCAGAGGUUAAUGGGGAGAAAGGAAUGGAUGGGCAGGGCACAGAGAAUGUUUAAGGCUGUGAAACUAUUCUAUGUGACAUGACAGUGGUGUCUAGAUUGUAGAUAACAAUAUAUUUACAAUAUUAAAUAAAUGUCAUUAUGCAUUUGUGAAAAUCCAUAGAAUGUACAACACCAAGAAUGAAUCUUAAUGUAAACUGUGGACUUUCGGUUGAUGAUGAUGUGUCAAUGUAGGUUCAUUGAUUGCAACAAAGGUACCACUCUGGGGUGUGAUAUUGAUAGUGGGGGAGGCUGUGCUGUUUAGGAGCAGGGGAUAUAUGGGAACUCUCUGUACUUUCUGCUCAAUUAUGCUUUGAACCUAAAAUUGCCAUAAAAAUAAAAUCUAUUUGUAAAAAAAU
rnacentral:lncRNA from 10 species